CAGCAGCCGCGGUAAUUCGAACCGUACGAACGUUAUUCGGAUUCACUGGGCUUAAAGCGUGCGUAGGCGGCUGGGAAAGUUGGGUGUGAAAUCCCUCGGCUCAACCGAGGAAUUGCGCUCAAAACUACCUGGCUUGAGGAAGAUAGAGGUGAGCGGAACUAAUGGUGGAGCGGUGAAAUGCGUUGAUAUCAUUAGGAACACCUGUGGCGAAAGCAGCUCACUGGGUCUUUUCUGACGCUGAGGCACGAAAGCUAGGGGAGCGAACGGGAUUAGAUACCCCGGUAGUCCUAGCUGUAAACGAUGAGCACUGGGUUGAGGGGACUUCCACAUCCUCUCGGCCGUAGCGAAAGUGUUAAGUGCUCCGCCUGGGGAGUAUGGUCGCAAGGCUGAAACUUAAAGGAAUUGACGG
rnacentral:rRNA from 1 species